GAUGAAGAACGUAGCGAAAUGUGAUAAGUAAUGUGAAUUGCAGAAUCCAGUGAAUCAUCGAAUCUUUGAACGCACAUUGCGCCCGCCAGCAUUCUGGCGGGCAUGCCUGUUCGAGCGUCAUUUCAACCCUCGACCUCCCUUUGGGGAAGUCGGCGUUGGGGACCGGCAGCACACCGCCGGCCCUGAAAUGGAGUGGCGGCCCGUCCGCGGCGACCUCUGCGUAGUAAUCCAACUCGCACCGGAACCCCGACGCGGCCACGCCGUAAAACACCCAACUUCUGAACGUUGACCUCGAAUCAGGUAGGACUACCCGCUGAACUUAAGCAUAUCAAUAAGCGGAGGA
rnacentral:misc_RNA from 1 species